rnacentral:rRNA from 1 species
AUACGGAAGGUCCGGGCGUUAUCCGGAUUUAUUGGGUUUAAAGGGAGCGCAGGCGGAGAUGCAAGCGUGACGUCAAAUUUCGGGGCUCAACCCGGUCUCGCGUCGCGAACUGCGUCCCUUGGUUGCGGGAAGGGGAGGCGGAACUCGUGGUGUAGCGGGGAAAUGCAUAGAUAUCACGAAGAACUCCGAUCGCGAAGGCAGCCUUCCGGCCCGUCUACGACGCUCAUGCUCGAAGGUGCGGGUAUCAAACAGGAUUAGAUACCCUGGUAGUCCGCACAGUAAACGAUGGACACCCGCGGUUUGGCCUGUAUGGCUGAGCCGCCAAGCGAAAGCGUUAAGUGUCCCACCUGGAGAGUACGCCGGCAACGGUGAAACUCAAAUGAAUUGGCGGGG